rnacentral:rRNA from 1 species
GACAGAGGAGCCAAGCGUUGUCCGGAUUGACUGGGCGUAAAGCGCACGCAGGCGGUCGCGCGCGUGGGGUGUGAAAUCUGGCCGCUUAACGGCCAGGCGCCAUCCCAUACGGCGCGACUGGAGCCUUGCAGAGGGCGGUGGAAUUGCCGGUGUAGUGGUGAAAUGCGUAGAUAUCGGGAGGAACACCAGUGGCGAAGGCGACUACCUGGCCUGUUCUUGACGCUGAGGCGCGAAAGCUAGGGGAGCAAACGGG